rnacentral:tRNA from 1 species
GACCGGGUAGCUCAGCUGGCAGAGCAACGGACUUUUAAUCCGUAGGUCGUGGGUUCGAAUCCCACCCCGGUCA